GGCUCGGAGGUUGCCAGGCAGCUGCUGCCUGCACACAGAGGGCGACUGCAGCUUGGGCGCCCAGGCGGCGGAGCAUGGUCUGGGUGGCCUCUGGAAUGCGUGCGCGCCAGACCUGAGGGCCCUCCUGCUGGUGCCACCUGACCCGGUCUUCCUCUGCUGGAGCCUGGAGCAGCUGGAAUGGCCACUCUGCAGUCACAGGGGAUAGAGUUAAGUUUUCUUAUCCCAGGCAUGCACACAAAAAGACAGAGUCUCGCUCUUGUCACCCAGGCUGGAUGCAGCAUCCUGCUACUGGAUAUGUAGAUAAAAGAGAAGUAUUACAUCUUUGAGAUAUGGAAUCAACCUAAGUGCUGCUCUAAGCAUACAAGUGCAGGUGAAAUGCUCAUUGCAGUGCUGCAAAAAGGUGAGGUCACAGGACACAAACCCAUAUCUGAGACCUGGAUGCCUUCCUCCACGCACUCACCCACUGGCUGUCCUGAGCAUCACCCUGCACCUAUUGUCACAGCAACAAGGGAAAAAUCAGCAUAGUGGUCAAGUCCAUUGUCAGCUUCUGACACUGCCUCUUACAAGGAGGUGACUUUGGAAAUGUCAUUCAGCCUUCCUGUGCCUGAGAUCGCCUCAC
rnacentral:lncRNA from 1 species